UCCCUGGUGGCCACGGUAAAGCGUCUGCCUACAAUGCAGGAGACCCAGGUUUGAUCCCUGGGUCGGGGAG
rnacentral:tRNA from 1 species